rnacentral:lncRNA from 1 species
UUUUUUUCAAAAAAGUAAAAGAUAUGAUAUCAGAAAACAGCUUAGGGAUGGUAAUUGUUGGUGGAGAUAUGAAUGAUACUCUAUCAAAUAUUGACAGAAAAAAAUACAGCACAAAUAAAAAAACACAAAAACCAGUUAACAGUUUAAAAAAUCUAAUUAAAACACUAAAGUUGAUAGACAUUUGGAGAGAGACACAUAGUAACAAUACACAAUUUACAUGGAGGCGCAAAAACAAUAUGAAUGAAGCCUCUCGCAUAGAUUUCUUUCUUAUAUGCCCAGAAAUAAGAUCACAUAUAUGCUCAGCAGAUAUAAGACCUGCACUUAUAUCUCACACAGACCACCAAGCUAUAUCAUUAAAGUUGAAAGGGAGAUCACAAUCAAAAGGGAAAGGAUAUUUUAAAAUUAAUAACAGCAUUUUGAAUAAUAUUGAAUAUAGAAACAUAAUAAAUGGCCUAAUUCAUAAAUAUAAAAACAAUCCAAAACUUACCAAAAAUAUUGGACACCAUUGGGACUUAUUCAAAAUUGAGGUCAAAGAAUACACCAUUGAAUACUGUAAAAGAAAAGCAAAACAGAACAUAAGUGAAAUACAUGUAUUGGAAAACAAAAUCAAAAAAUUAAAUGAAAAAUUAACAAACAUUGUAAAGAUGAGGUAAUAAAGCAUUUUCAAGAAGAAUUAAUUAAUAAUGAAAGUAAAUUGAAGAAAAUAUAUGAAAUAAAAACAAAAGGAGC